AUACGUAGGGGGCGAGCGUUGUCCGGAAUGACUGGGCGUAAAGCGCGUGUAGGCGGCGGUGUAAGUCUGGAGUGAAAGUCCCGCAUUCAAUGUGGGAAUUGCUUUGGAUACUGCAGUGCUAGAGUGCGGAAGAGGUAAGUGGAAUUCCCAGUGUAGCGGUGAAAUGCGUAGAGAUUGGGAGGAACACCAGUGGCGAAGGCGACUUACUGGGCCGUAACUGACGCUGAGGCGCGAAAGCGUGGGGAGAGAACAGGAUUAGAUACCCUGGUAGUCCACGCUGUAAACGAUGAAUGCUAGGUGUAGCGGGUAUCGACCCCUGCUGUGCCGCAGUAAACACAAUAAGCAUUCCGCCUGGGGAGUACGGCCGCAAGGUUGAAACUCAAAUGAAUUGACGGGG
rnacentral:rRNA from 1 species